rnacentral:rRNA from 1 species
ACGAACGCUGGCGGCGUGCUUAACACAUGCACGUCGAACGGAAAGGCCCUGCUUUUGUGGGGUGCUCGAGUGGCGAACGGGUGAGUAACACGUGAGUAACCUGCCCUUGACUUUGGGAUAACUUCAGGAAACUGGGGCUAAUACCGGAUAGGAGCUCCUGCUGCAUGGUGGGGGUUGGAAAGUUUCGGCGGUUGGGGAUGGACUCGCGGCUUAUCAGCUUGUUGGUGGGGUAGUGGCUUACCAAGGCUUUGACGGGUAGCCGGCCUGAGAGGGUGACCGGCCACAUUGGGACUGAGAUCCGGCCCAGACUCCUACGGGAGGCAGCAGUGGGGAAUAUUGCACAAUGGGCGGAAGCCUGAUGAAGCAACGCCGCGUGCGGGAUGACGGCCUUCGGGUGGUAAACCGCUUUCGCCUGUGACGAAGCGUGAGUGACGGUAAUGGGUAAAGAAGCACCGGCUACUACGUG